GAAAGCUUUCUCCCUUCAAUCUAGAUUUCUAUGUGCAGGGAUUAAUUAAAAAUAAACAAAUCGGGCAGGAGCUUGGAGUCCCUACCAGCAUUCUGAAAUGGUGUAGCCCACAUUCAGGGUUAUUAUACCUCUUUAGUGGGAACUAGUCCACAAACUGGUGCUCUGCCCUGAGAUGGUUCUGUUUUUGUGUGGAGGAAAGCAGACUGGUGUUUAUUCUAAUUCUGUAGAACUCUCUCUCUAGGAAAAAACUAGCAAAAGCCUGGCGUCACCAACUUGUAGAUAUCAGUAAGGAGCAUCAACGUGGUCAGGUGAGCAGAGUCACAUCUACACACCCAUAUCUUCUGCAGCUGAAAUCAUGUGAUGGAUUUGAAGCAUACAAAUACAUUUCUGAUUCAGCUGGAGAUGCCAGGCAUUGAAUGUGAGACCUCAACCCCUAAGUUAUGGUUCCUCCCAUAACAGACUGUUGCCCCAGUACUCUGUUACGUACUUGCUCCCAACUGAACCUCGCCAUCCUGUGGGUGCAAAAAGUUACACAGGAACAGCUUGCCAAUAUACCUGCAGAAAACAAUUAAACAAAUAUAACACAACAAUAUUUUUGCCCACUACUGAUGCCACUAGAAUGGACUGGCAGCUGUGUGUCAUAACAAUAAGUGUUUUAUGUGUAAAAUUGGCCCAGCUCAGGGCAGGAGAUGAAAUUCAAAACCUGUUCUGUUACCUCCUGUUACAUCUUUAUACUAGACCUACUAGGGGUCUGCAGCCUUGAUUUUGGCAGAAAAAUACCAGCACACACAACAUCCCUCCUGCAAUCCACAGACCAUGUGAGACUGCAUUCCCUCCAGGCUGUCUGUGCCAACUGCUUUCUCUCUUGAGUGAUCCCAGCCAAUCUUUCCCUCUCCUUCUUAUGCCAAUUUCCAUUACCAUCUUGAAUUUUGAACCUUCUUCUUUGUCUCUCUUGCUCCUACCUCUUAUUUAAUGGGUAGGUGUUGUUUUGCUUACUCUCCCCUUAGUUUUGCCUCCCAUCCUUUACACAUGCACUAUAGUGGCAAGCCUUCACUGACACAAGUGCAAUGCAAUGUAGUAAAAGAUUGGAUCUUAGGAUUGCGGCAUUGAUUCCUCAGCCUGUCUCCCUGGAAUAUGAUCCAUAAGCCAAUUUCAGUUCCUU